AGAGUUUGAUCCUGGCUCAGGAUGAACGCUGGCGGCGCGCCUAACACAUGCAAGUCGAACGGCACCCCUCUCCGGAGGGAAGCGAGUGGCGAACGGCUGAGUAACACGUGGAGAACCUGCCCCCUCCCCCGGGAUAGCCGCCCGAAAGGACGGGUAAUACCGGAUACCCCGGGGUGCCGCAUGGCACCCCGGCUAAAGCCCCGACGGGAGGGGAUGGCUCCGCGGCCCAUCAGGUAGACGGCGGGGUGACGGCCCACCGUGCCGACAACGGGUAGCCGGGUUGAGAGACCGACCGGCCACAUUGGGACUGAGACACGGCCCAGACUCCUACGGGAGGCAGCAGUGGGGAAUAUUGCACAAUGGGGGAAACCCUGAUGCAGCGACGCCGCGUGGAGGAAGAAGGUCUUCGGAUUGUAAACUCCUGUUGUUGGGGAAGAUAAUGACGGUACCCAACAAGGAAGUGACGGCUAACUACGUGCCAGCAGCCGCGGUAAAACGUAGGUCACAAGCGUUGUCCGGAAUUACUGGGUGUAAAGGGAGCGCAGGCGGGAAGACAAGUUGGAAGUGAAAUCUAUGGGCUCAACCCAUAAACUGCUUUCAAAACUGUUUUUCUUGAGUAGUGCAGAGGUAGGCGGAAUUCCCGGUGUAGCGGUGGAAUGCGUAGAUAUCGGGAGGAACACCAGUGGCGAAGGCGGCCUACUGGGCACCAACUGACGCUGAGGCUCGAAAGUGUGGGUAGCAAACAGAAUUAGAUACCCUGGUAGUCCACACCGUAAACGAUGAUUACUAGGUGUUGGAGGAUUGACCCCUUCAGUGCCGCAGUUAACACAAUAAGUAAUCCACCUGGGGAGUACGACCGCAAGGUUGAAACUCAAAGGAAUUGACGGGGGCCCGCACAAGCAGUGGAGUAUGUGGUUUAAUUCGACGCAACGCGAAGAACCUUACCAAGUCUUGACAUCCCUUGACAGGCAUAGAAAUAUGUUUUCUCUUCGGAGCAAGGAGACAGGUGGUGCAUGGUUGUCGUCAGCUCGUGUCGUGAGAUGUUGGGUUAAGUCCCGCAACGAGCGCAACCCUUAUGGUCAGUUACUACGCAAGAGGACUCUGGCCAGACUGCCGUUGACAAAACGGAGGAAGGUGGGGAUGACGUCAAAUCAUCAUGCCCUUUAUGACUUGGGCUACACACGUACUACAAUGGCGUUAAACAAAGAGAAGCGAGACCGCGAGGUGGAGCAAAACUCAGAAACAACGUCCCAGUUCGGACUGCAGGCUGCAACUCGCCUGCACGAAGUCGGAAUUGCUAGUAAUCGUGGAUCAGCAUGCCACGGUGAAUACGUUCCCGGGCCUUGCACACACAGCCCGUCA
rnacentral:rRNA from 1 species